rnacentral:rRNA from 1 species
UACAGAGACUGCAAGCGUUAUUCGGAUUCACUGGGCGUAAAGGGUGCGCAGGCGCCAUGUGUGUCAAGGUGUGAAAGCCCGAGGCUCAACCUCGGAAUUGCGCUGAAACUACAUGGCUAGAGUACUGAGAGGGUAGCGGAAUUCAUGGUGUAGCAGUGAAAUGCGUAGAUAUCAUGAGGAACACCGGUGGCGAAGGCGGGUCUCUGGGCCGAUACUGACGCUGAGGAGCGAAAGCGUGGGGAGCGAACAG